CCUACGGGUGACAGCAGUGAGGAAUAUUGGUCAAUGGACGAGAGUCUGAACCAGCCAAGUAGCGUGAAGGAUGACUGCCCUAUGGGUUGUAAACUUCUUUUAUAUGGGAAUAAAACGUUCCACGUGUGGGAUUUUGUAUGUACCAUAUGAAUAAGGAUCGGCUAACUCCGUACCAGCAGCCGCGGUAAUACGGAGGAUCCGAGCGUUAUCCGGAUUUAUUGGGUUUAAAGGGAGCGUAGGUGGAUUGUUAAGUCAGUUGUGAAAGUUUGCGGCUCAACCGUAAAAUUGCAGUUGAAACUGGCAGUCUUGAGUACAGUAGAGGUGGGCGGAAUUCGUGGUGUAGCGGUGAAAUGCUUAGAUAUCACGAAGAACUCCGAUUGCGAAGGCAGUUCACUGGACUGCAACUGACACUGAGGCUCGAAAGUGUGGGUAUCAAACAGGAUUAGAUACCCUGGUAGUC
rnacentral:rRNA from 1 species